rnacentral:rRNA from 1 species
GAGGUAAUGGCUCACCUAGGCGACGAUCCCUAGCUGGUCUGAGAGGAUGACCAGCCACACUGGAACUGAGACACGGUCCAGACUCCUACGGGAGGCAGCAGUGGGGAAUAUUGCACAAUGGGCGCAAGCCUGAUGCAGCCAUGCCGCGUGUGUGAAGAAGGCCUUCGGGUUGUAAAGCACUUUCAGCGAGGAGGAAGGGUUCGGUGUUAAUAGCACCGUUCAUUGACGUUACUCGCAGAAGAAGCACCGGCUAACUCCGUGCCAGCAGCCGCGGUAAUACGGAGGGUGCAAGCGUUAAUCGGAAUUACUGGGCGUAAAGCGCACGCAGGCGGUUUGUUAAGUCAGAUGUGAAAUCCCCGAGCUUAACUUGGGAACUGCAUUUGAAACUGGCAAGCUAGAGUCUUGUAGAGGGGGGUAGAAUUCCAGGUGUAGCGGUGAAAUGCGUAGAGAUCUGGAGGAAUACCGGUGGCGAAGGCGGCCCCCUGGACAAAG